ensembl:lncRNA
GUUUACUCUUCCUGCUGGGUUGGUAGGAUAAGGGAUAAAAUAUAUCGAGAGGGGGAUCCAAUCCGGUUUGAGCUAGUUCUGGUACUGCUCGGACGUUAAUGUUAAGUUACAGACUGCUCUGGAGGUGUAUAAGACAGAGGUGCAAGGCUGAACCACAUUACGCUGAUUGUCCUAAAAGGCUGUGCUGUUGUGUAAAAUCCGUGCUACCAAAGCAACGAUGGGAAGGAACAAAGCUAGCGCUGAUGCAGACCCAAAUGCUGAGCCAAGGAGAAAAUCUGCAAGAUUAUUAAAAUUGAAAGAGACAGAGGAAAAGCCAGAAAAGCCAGAAAAGAAAAAGGCACCUGCCAAGAAAGAUGUGAAAAAACCAGCAAAGGCUAAGCCAGAGGAGAAGAAAGAAGAACCUCAGGCAGAGACAGAAGAGGCUCCAGCAGAAAACGGGGAGGCCAAAGCUGAGGAGACCACAGCUGCAGAGGAACAGCCAGACGGUGAAGAGGAACAGCCGAAUGGCGAAGAGGAAAAAGAAGCAGAGUAGAAGCGAUACCUCUGAACUCAUUUGCCAAUGCUCCCUGUACCUCCUUUGUUGUAAAAUGCAGAGAAUAUUUUUAUCUACUAUUUUCUUAUGACAACAAUGUUUUUAGGGAUGUGAUUGCAUUUUUUUCCUAAAUACUACAACUUCCAUUCACUCUCAUGACUUGUGUGAAGGGAAGGUCUCUGUCAUUAUGUUCUUUUGGUCAUUUUGUUGUUAGAUUGUAGUUUUGUUUUGUUUUUUUCUGCAUGGCAUGCAAUAAUGCCUUCAUCAGGAAUGGGAGAGUUUACCUGAAACAUUCCCAAAGAAUUUUAAGAGAUUUUGUAACCUGUACUGUGUUGAAUACACAUCAAAAUACUGUUUGUUUGAUAAUGGGAUGAUUUGAAAGUUUGAAGCUUGUAUUCUAUGCUUUAACAAAAUGCCUUGUUCACAAUGUUCACUUUCAUCAUUUUCACAAGGAGUCCGGGAGUUGGUUUUCACUUUAAGGUACAAUUGAGAACGGUUAAAUUAAUCAAUGUUCUAAGCUAUGCUCAAAACAAAAAUGCAUUACAGUUAGUCAUAUUUGAUAUGGUUUUGGGAUUUGUCUACCAAUGUACAGUUUCCUCCUUUAAAAAAAAAAAAAAUGUUUUCUUUGUUUUGGAUGGUAUGAAAUGCCAAUUAAAGUGGGGAAUUUCUUUUAAGUAUUUGUCUUUCAUCAGCUAUAUUGUAUUUAAGUCUGCCUGCAUUGAUCCAUUUACCAGGACAGAUUGCAGAUGUUUCUUUUCUGUUGCCUGGAAUGACGUACUGCUGCUCUUUUUGAUUCACUUUAGUGAGAUUUAGAUAAUAGGAAAAGAAUCCUUGAACUAAUGCCAAUUACUCUGAAUGUUGCAUUUCUCAUUUUGCUUUAUAAGAGAGCUAGUGAAGAGUCUGGCAUAUGGGGUUGAUAC